rfam:Corynebacterium argentoratense DSM 44202, complete genome.
UUAAACGUCCACGGGUGCCUCCUUGGAGGCUGAGAGCCUAAACCGUCCGAACCUGAUCCGGUUAAUACCGGCGAUAGGGAGAGAGAAACCACUAUGU